CCUACGGUGGGCUGCAGUGGGGAAUAUUGCACAAUGGGGGAAACCCUGAUGCAGCGACGCCGCGUGAGUGAAGAAGUAUUUCGGUAUGUAAAGCUCUAUCAGCAGGGAAGAAAAUGAUGGUACCUGAUUAAGAAGCCUCGGCUAACUACGAGCCAGCAGCCGCGGUAAUACGUAGGGGGCAAGCGUCAUACGGAUUUACUGGGUGGAAAGGGAGAGUAGACGGCAGCACAAGUCUGUAGUGAAAUGCUGGGGCUUAACCCCGGAACUGCUUUGGAAACUGUGCAGCUAGAGUGCAGGAGAGGCAAGUGGAAUUCCUAGUGUAGCGGUGAAAUGCGUAGAUAUUAGGAGGAACUCCAGUGGCGAAGGCAGCUUACUGGACUGUAACUGACGUUGAGGCUCGAAAGCGUGGGGAGCAAACAGGAUUAGAUACCCUUGUAGUC
rnacentral:rRNA from 1 species